rnacentral:rRNA from 1 species
AACGCGAAGAACCUUACCUACCCUUGACAUGUCAAGAAUUUCGCAGAGAUGUGGAAGUGCUCGAAAGAGAACUUGAACACAGGUGCUGCAUGGCCGUCGUCAGCUCGUGUCGUGAGAUGUUGGGUUAAGUCCCGCAACGAGCGCAACCCUUGUCAUUAGUUGCUACGAAAGGGCACUCUAAUGAGACUGCCGGUGACAAACCGGAGGAAGGUGGGGAUGACGUCAGGUCCUCAUGGCCCUUAUGGGUAGGGCUACACACGUCAUACAAUGGCCGGUACAGAGGGUCGCCAACCCGCGAGGGGGAGCCAAUCCCAGAAAACCGGUCGUAGUCCGGAUCGCAGUCUGCAACUCGACUGCGUGAAGUCGGAAUCGCUAGUAAUCGCGGAUCAGCUUGCCGCGGUGAAUACGUUCCCGGGCCUUGUA